CACCACUUUUAACUGCUAACUGUAUGCUAGUUACCAUGCAACAACUGCUGUUAAUAUAUGCUAACCUUGCAACUGUUUAGUAAAAUAUUGUCAAGGUGUUCAGAGAAAUUUUCUACCGAUAUAUACAACCUGAAUUAUGAACCUGGGAAACAGGUUUUUAAUUAUAUGUUGAGACUACUUUCCCUUUAUACAAAAUUUGAUAAAUGACAUGUCGCUCUUGAUGUAAUAGUCUCCAAUAAACAGUUUCUCUGAUUAUA